rnacentral:rRNA from 1 species
ACUGUGAUUCCCUUAGUAACUGCGAGUGAAGCGGGAUAAGCCCAUCGUUUAAUCUUCCCGGACUGUGGACGGGACGACAUGUAACGGUAUGGAUAGGUUCUCUAUCAACUCUGGCUGGUCAAAGUCCUCCGGAUUGAGGUGCCAAAGAGGGUGACAGCCCCGUGUGUGACUGGAAAGAGUUGAGUAUGUGGCCGAUUCCGAGAGUCGGGUUGUUUGGGACUGCAACCUAAAGCAGGUGGUAAACUCCACCCAAGGCUAAAUAUUGACACGAAACCGAUAGCGAAUAAGUACUGUGAAGGAAAGUUGAAAAGAACUCUGAAAAGAGAGUUAAAAGUACGUGAAACCGCUAACGGGGAAGCGGAAGGCAGUGUCGAGAUUGGGUGAGUGAGUUGUUUCAAUUUGAUUUUAUUAYUAAAUUUAAAUUGGGGCGACUAGCUUUGCUCGAUGCGUCAGGACUAUUGGUGUGCGGUGGCUCAAUUGUCGGCAUGGCUUCCACGACACUCGCACACUUGUGUGUGGGCUCGUGGUUGCGGCAGGCGAUCCGCCUCGUGCGCUGAUAUGGAUGUGGUGAGGCGUUGGUGAUGUAGUGUCGGUUGGUGUUGUGUGGUGCUCCGCGUAGUCACAGUGUGGCUACGUGUGGAGAAGUCAUGUGAUUGUUCAACAACCAGUGCCAGUGCCUGACGUGAUACCUAACCUUC